GGGUUGUGAGGUUAAGCGACUAAGCGUACACGGUGGAUGCCCUGGCAGUCAGAGGCGAUGAAGGACGUGCUAAUCUGCGAAAAGCGUCGGUAAGGUGAUAUGAACCGUUAUAACCGGCGAUGUCCGAAUGGGGAAACCCAGUGCAAUUCGUUGCACUAUCGUUAACUGAAUACAUAGGUUAACGAGGCGAACCGGGGGAACUGAAACAUCUAAGUACCCCGAGGAAAAGAAAUCAACCGAGAUUCCCCCAGUAGCGGCGAGCGAACGGGGAGCAGCCCAGAGUCUGAAUCAGCUUGUGUGUUAGUGGAACGGUCUGGAAAGUCCGACGGUACAGGGUGAUAGUCCCGUACACCAAAAUGCACAGGCUGUGAACUCGAAGAGUAGGGCGGGACACGUGGUAUCCUGUCUGAAUAUGGGGGGACCAUCCUCCAAGGCUAAAUACUCCUGACUGACCGAUAGUGAACCAGUACCGUGAGGGAAAGGCGAAAAGAACCCCGGCGAGGGGAGUGAAAAAGAACCUGAAACCGUGUACGUACAAGCAGUGGGAGCACCUUCGGGUGUGACUGCGUACCUUUUGUAUAAUGGGUCAGCGACUUAUAUUCUGUAGCAAGGUUAACCGUAUAGGGGAGCCGCAGGGAAACCGAGUCUUAACUGGGCGUUAAGUUGCAGGGUAUAGACCCGAAACCCGGUGAUCUAGCCAUGGGCAGGUUGAAGGUUGGGUAACACUAACUGGAGGACCGAACCGACUAAUGUUGAAAAAUUAGCGGAUGACUUGUGGCUGGGGGUGAAAGGCCAAUCAAACCGGGAGAUAGCUGGUUCUCCCCGAAAGCUAUUUAGGUAGCGCCUCGUGAAUUCAUCUUCGGGGGUAGAGCACUGUUUCGGCUAGGGGGUCAUCCCGACUUACCAACCCGAUGCAAACUACGAAUACCGAAGAAUGUUAUCACGGGAGACACACGGCGGGUGCUAACGUCCGUCGUGAAGAGGGAAACAACCCAGACCGCCAGCUAAGGUCCCAAAGUCAUGGUUAAGUGGGAAACGAUGUGGGAAGGCACAGACAGCCAGGAUGUUGGCUUAGAAGCAGCCAUCAUUUAAAGAAAGCGUAAUAGCUCACUGGUCGAGUCGGCCUGCGCGGAAGAUGUAACGGGGCUAAACCAUGCACCGAAGCUGCGGCAGCGACACUAUGUGUUGUUGGGUAGGGGAGCGUUCUGUAAGCCUGCGAAGGUGACCUGUGAGGGUUGCUGGAGGUAUCAGAAGUGCGAAUGCUGACAUAAGUAACGAUAAAGCGGGUGAAAAGCCCGCUCGCCGGAAGACCAAGGGUUCCUGUCCAACGUUAAUCGGGGCAGGGUGAGUCGACCCCUAAGGCGAGGCCGAAAGGCGUAGUCGAUGGGAAACAGGUUAAUAUUCCUGUACUUGGUGUUACUGCGAAGGGGGGACGGAGAAGGCUAUGUUAGCCGGGCGACGGUUGUCCCGGUUUAAGCAUGUAGGCUGGUUAUCCAGGCAAAUCCGGAUAAUCAAGGCUGAGGUGUGAUGACGAGGCACUACGGUGCUGAAGUAACAAAUGCCCUGCUUCCAGGAAAAGCCUCUAAGCAUCAGGUAACAUUAAAUCGUACCCCAAACCGACACAGGUGGUCAGGUAGAGAAUACCAAGGCGCUUGAGAGAACUCGGGUGAAGGAACUAGGCAAAAUGGUGCCGUAACUUCGGGAGAAGGCACGCUGGUGUGUAGGUGAAGUCCCUGCGGAUGGAGCUGAGACCAGUCGAAGAUACCAGCUGGCUGCAACUGUUUAUUAAAAACACAGCACUGUGCAAACACGAAAGUGGACGUAUACGGUGUGACGCCUGCCCGGUGCCGGAAGGUUAAUUGAUGGGGUUAUCCGUAAGGAGAAGCUCUUGAUCGAAGCCCCGGUAAACGGCGGCCGUAACUAUAACGGUCCUAAGGUAGCGAAAUUCCUUGUCGGGUAAGUUCCGACCUGCACGAAUGGCGUAAUGAUGGCCAGGCUGUCUCCACCCGAGACUCAGUGAAAUUGAACUCGCUGUGAAGAUGCAGUGUACCCGCGGCAAGACGGAAAGACCCCGUGAACCUUUACUAUAGCUUGACACUGAACAUUGAGCCUUGAUGUGUAGGAUAGGUGGGAGGCUUUGAAGCGUGGACGCCAGUCUGCGUGGAGCCAACCUUGAAAUACCACCCUUUAAUGUUUGAUGUUCUAACGUUGGCCCCUGACCGGGGUUGCGGACAGUGUCUGGUGGGUAGUUUGACUGGGGCGGUCUCCUCCCAAAGCGUAACGGAGGAGCACGAAGGUUAGCUAAUCCUGGUCGGACAUCAGGAGGUUAGUGCAAUGGCAUAAGCUAGCUUGACUGCGAGCGUGACGGCGCGAGCAGGUGCGAAAGCAGGUCAUAGUGAUCCGGUGGUUCUGAAUGGAAGGGCCAUCGCUCAACGGAUAAAAGGUACUCCGGGGAUAACAGGCUGAUACCGCCCAAGAGUUCAUAUCGACGGCGGUGUUUGGCACCUCGAUGUCGGCUCAUCACAUCCUGGGGCUGAAGUAGGUCCCAAGGGUAUGGCUGUUCGCCAUUUAAAGUGGUACGCGAGCUGGGUUUAGAACGUCGUGAGACAGUUCGGUCCCUAUCUGCCGUGGGCGCUGGAGAAUUGAGGGGGGCUGCUCCUAGUACGAGAGGACCGGAGUGGACGCAUCACUGGUGUUCGGGUUGUCAUGCCAAUGGCACUGCCCGGUAGCUAAAUGCGGAAGAGAUAAGUGCUGAAAGCAUCUAAGCACGAAACUUGCCCCGAGAUGAGUUCUCCCUGAGACUUUAAGUCUCCUGAAGGAACGUUGAAGACGACGACGUUGAUAGGCCGGGUGUGUAAGCGCAGCGAUGCGUUGAGCUAACCGGUACUAAUGAACCGUGAGGCUUAACCUUACAACGCCGAAG
rnacentral:rRNA from 1 species